rnacentral:rRNA from 1 species
GGUGAACGCUGCGGCGUGCCUAAUACAUGCAAGUCGAGCGAACAGACGAGGAGCUUGCUCCUCUGACGUUAGCGGCGGACGGGUGAGUAACACGUGGAUAACCUACCUAUAAGACUGGGAUAACUUCGGGAAACCGGAGCUAAUACCGGAUAAUAUAUUGAACCGCAUGGUUCAAUAGUGAAAGACGGUUUUGCUGUCACUUAUAGAUGGAUCCGCGCCGCAUUAGCUAGUUGGUAAGGUAACGGCUUACCAAGGCAACGAUGCGUAGCCGACCUGAGAGGGUGAUCGGCCACACUGGAACUGAGACACGGUCCAGACUCCUACGGGAGGCAGCAGUAGGGAAUCUUCCGCAAUGGGCGAAAGCCUGACGGAGCAACGCCGCGUGAGUGAUGAAGGUCUUCGGAUCGUAAAACUCUGUUAUUAGGGAAGAACAAAUGUGUAAGUAACUAUGCACGUCUUGACGGUACCUAAUCAGAAAGCCACGGCUAACUACGUG